rnacentral:rRNA from 1 species
UACAGAGGUCCCAAGCGUUGUUCGGAUUCACUGGGCGUAAAGGGUGCGUAGGUGGUCGGGUAAGUCUGAUGUGAAAUCUCCAAGCUUAACUUGGAAAUGGCAUCGGAUACUAUUCGGCUCGAGGAAUGGAGGGGAGACUGGAAUACUUGGUGUAGCAGUGAAAUGCGUAGAUAUCAAGUGGAACACCAGUGGCGAAGGCGAGUCUCUGGGCCGAUACUGACGCUGAGGAGCGAAAGCGUGGGGAGCGAACAGG